AUAUAACUUUACCAUCUCAGCUUUUCUUGGGUAACUCAGUUGAGCAGGCAAUUAGCAUGAGCUUAGGGGGGAAAAAAAGAAGAAAAAAAGAAGCAAAGACAGCAAUGAAACCCUUCUAAGGAGAUAUCUUAGCUGGAAGGCACCUAACUGUAGAGAAGACAUUUGGAAUACAAAAGACUCUUGACUUCCUCUUCAACAGAUAUAAUAAGUUAUCUCUGUGUUUGCUUAAGUUCUACAUGGUAGAAGUCCGUGGAUCAUGAAAACAAAAGGGAAAUGGCAAAGUACAAGAAAACAAAAGGAUAUUUUCUAUGACAACAGUUCCUUGCCCUGACAAAACAUCAGUGUAUGCUGCUCUCCUCCUUUAUCCAUCACUGCCUACACUUUGCUGACAUGGAUACAGAGCCAAUAUAAGGAGCUUUCACUGACUCACAGUGAAGGAGAAAGAAGGCUGGAGCUGGAGAGAAAUGGAGGAUAGACUGGCCUUUGCAUUCACUGGCAUGGGGAAGUCCCGGAUGAGGAAAUGUCCUUAAUCAUUUUAGGUAUGGACUUUCUCUACACCCUUAGAGAGCUUCCUGGAGCACUAAGAAAGGAAGUGACUUGCCCAAGGAAACUAAUCAGUAUGUGCUUGAGGUGGAACCUAAACCCAGUGUUUCCUGGCUUGAGUUUGACUCUAUCCACUAAAUUAUUUAUGUCUUUGGUGCGAAUCUUAAUACAGUGACUGGUGCAUAAUAUGUGGUUAAUAAAUGCAAAUUGACUUAUUCCUGAAUAACAUCUAUGCAGAAAGUGUCUAUAGAAGCACUUAGAGACUCAGUUGCAGUUGUCAUUGCCAAUGCCAUCUGGUCAGGGUUAGCAAUAGUGCUGGUCUACAUAGUUAUUCUAUUCCUCUGCAUCUUCAGAGUAAAUGAUUUAUUCUCAAUAUACUUUUCCAUUUUAUAAAGGAUUCUGCAUGGGUCUAUAUGAUAGUUGUUUUUUUAAUUGCCUUGAAACUUAGUUUUCAAAAAUCAUUAGCCCCAGGAAAAUUUAGUUUGGCAAAAAGAAUUUCCAUUGGCCCCACUGAUGCAUACCUAGACUUUCUUUCCUCCUUCUGUCACUUUCUAACAUCUGUACCUACUCAUGUUAUUUCCACCAAGUAAAGAUAAGAACUAGAGAAUUAUACCAUUUCAGGGUGGGAAGAAUCUUCAGUGACCAUUUAAUUAAACUUAUACUUGAAAGAGAUUACUCUACAGCAUCCCCCCAAAGUAGUCAUUCAGUCUUUGCUUAUGUACUUUAGGCAAUCUCAUUAUAUAGUUCUUGUCUUGGUUUCCAUAGAUGUAGUUAACAGGGUCCCCAGAAGAACAACCUUCAUUUUACUCCACAGAAAAUUCAGAGAAUUUAAAGGUCUCAGAGACUUCAUAACAAAUGCAUCUCCAUCCCAUUAAAAAAAGAGGCUCACAAUAGUGUACAAAGUAUUGGUACAACUCUCUUCCCUAUCUAGAAAUUCCCAUUUUCCACCAAGUAUAUAAAGACUCUCUGUACUCAGUGCCAUCUCUUGGUUUAGACUUUCAUCAGAAUAGAACUGAGGGGGAAACUAGGUGGCUCAGUGGAUUGAGAACCAGACCUAGAGAUGAGAGGUCCUGGAUUCAAAUCUGGCCUCAGACACUUCCCAGCUGUGUGACCCUGGGCAAGUCACUUAGCCCCCAUUACCUAGCCCUUACCACUCUUCUGCCUUGGAACCAAUACGCAGUAUUGAUUCUAAGACCGAAGGUAAGGGUUUAAAAAAAAGAAUAGAACUAAAUCUGAGGUCAGCAGCAGAGCCAAAUAUUUCAGUGAAUCUUUCUCAGGGGUGUAUAUAAUCCCUUAUCUUCCUAACAUCACCCUAUGAUUUCGAGUACCCUCAGAAGGAAAACAAACCUAGGGUUGUUAAACAAUACCAAAGCAUUCUAACAAGCCCUUUUUUAACCCCACUGAUACCUGCAGAGACAUUCAAUCCUGUGGUACUACACUGAGGGACAGAAGGUUGGUUGUCCUUCAUACUCAAAGAGGACCAGAAUGACAUCACUGCUGAUGCCUUUUACUGCUUACAUAAAUUGGAUUUAAGUGAGGCAGAGUUACAUAAAGUCAUCGGCCUCACUCUCUUUUCCAGAGCCAUGGCCAGGGAUGCAGUGGAUGACCUUGGUUUCUCUGAUGUCUAACCAAACCAUCAAACCCACUUCCACUAUCUUCAUGGCCAUUGGAACAAAUUCUCUUCUACACCUGUUCUCAUCUACACCUACCACUGGGGGAAAUCUUCACAUGUCUGGAGUAGACAUCCCUCUAACUCACCAAUGAUUGAGACCUGCCAAUUACCCUCAAUCUGGUUUAGCUUGUUUUCUGAAAUGGUUUACCAGGUUGUACCUGUUGCACGUGCUUUAGCUUCUUGAAGCCACAGGUGUAACCUGUAUAGCAGAUAGAGACCAAAGGGAGAAAAAUAGCCCUGAAAAAGCCCUCACACCAGAGGUACUAGUCUUCCCUGAACACUCCAUACACUCAGGACUACUAUAUAAGCAAACCCAACUCCCCUUCUCACUGAACCCAUACUAUAUUAAUAACUCACAGAAAUAGUAAAUGUGAAAUGGUUUCUCCUUAUGUGUCAUCCUUAGGCUUUUGGCUAUUUUUCCUCCUCUAGAAACCAUCUCAUUCUCUAAGGAACAUACUGCCCAAUAAAUUUCCCUUCUCAAUAGAAAGGUGAUUUCCUGAACUCUUAAACUUGAUAUUAUGCACAAGGUAAUUCAGAAACAAUAUCACUCCUGUUUUUGCCAUUUUUUUACCUUCACCCAUUUGUUUUCUACCGUGCUUUUACCACUGGAUCCUAGAUUUCUUCAUGUGAAAUGCUACCCUACCCCAACAUUACCUUUUUACUUGUAAUUAUUUUUUUGGUAUAAACUAUACAUUUCCUGAUCUAUGUUCUAGUCAUUGGCCUCAUCUCAUCAUGUCUCAAUGACACCAAAGAGAGCAACUCAAAUUUGCUUAGUAGAAUCCCUAGAUUAUCUUGCUGCCUACACUCUGGUCAUUUGAGUGUAACUUGAGCCCCAAAGCACAUUGUUUAUGAUGCUUUUUCCUUAAUGGAGACCAAGGCUUUGAGCCUGGAUGAGGGGCAGAGUAGAGUGACAAAAGCUGGGGACAAAAAGAGAUCCAGUCCCUUCAGACCCUUAGAGCUCUUUCUCUUCUUCAGGGGCUUCUGGCUUCCAUCUUUGAGAGAGAGGAUGGAUGAUGCCAACCCAUUUAAAGUUGUUGAAGGGAGGAAAAGGCUCUGGAAAGAAAACAACAGGAGAGGAGCAAACAGUCCCCAUUGUGUCCCUAUCCUCACCUUACUAGGCUACAGACAUCAGGAAAUUUUCCCUUCGGGCAAAGCCUGCAUCUCUCUCAUUUGAGCUGUUACCUCACUCCCAAUAGGAACUCCUAAUAUAUAUUCUCUUAUGUAUACUUUCUUUGAUUUUUGUUUUGUUACUGCUUUGGAUAAAUGAUUUCUUUCCUAUUUGCCAUAUGUAUUCAUUGUGGAAAUGUUAUUUGAUGGUCAUGGAACUUGAGUUCACUCCUUCCCCACUAAGAAAUAGCAAUCAUCAAUUUAACUCAAAUCUGAAAACUACAUCCCCUAGAAUAAUUUUAAGAAAGCCUUUUAUUGUUCAGUCUUUUCAGUAAGGUCUAACUCUUCAUGACCCUAUUUGAAGUUUUGGU